UACGGAGGGUGCAAGCGUUAUCCGGAUUUACUGGGUUUAAAGGGUGCGUAGGCGGCCUGUUAAGUCGAACGUGAAAUCCCCGGGCUCAACCCGGGAACUGCGUCCGAUACUGGCAGGCUUGAAUCCGGGAGAGGGAUGUGGAAUUCCAGGUGUAGCGGUGAAAUGCGUAGAUAUCAGGAAGAACACCCGUGGCGAAGGCGGUUCUCUGGGACGGUACUGACGCUGAGACGCGAAAGCGUGGGGAGCGAACAGG
rnacentral:rRNA from 1 species